UGGGUUAGGGUUGCAAGAUGUCUCCCUGGA
rnacentral:piRNA from 1 species